GGAGAACUACACGAAUGAGGGCUUCGACAUGGAUGAGUGUUUCUCUGAGAGGCACCAUAGCAAAAUGGACGAUCGCAGUAGUAAAGGUUCUGCUCUAAACUCUAUGCUUCAAGAGUUGUUUGAAGAAAAGAUUUCUACUCAGAAGAAAAAUCACUGGAUACUUGGCCCUGAUGACCUCAAUGACACUCUUGUUCAUGAUUUUGAGCUAGAAGAAGCAGCGUGAGCUCUGCAUCAGUGCCUGCAUGGUUUUGCAUUCACCUGUGAAUAAAAGUUGCAGGUGAAACUUCAGUUUUUAAAAAUGACUUUAGCUAAUAAUAAA